ensembl:lncRNA
GUGUGAUCUGCCUCUGGAUUUUUCCUGCUACAAAUGAAUUCAUAUCCUCUCGUUAUAUCACAUGCAAUGUCUCUCAGACCCCAGCAUUUUAAACAGUGCUAAAAAUAUCACGGAUUUGAACAUUCUUUUAAAACAAACAAACAAAAAAAACAGAAAUGGCUAUGUCUUUUUUUUUUUUCUUUUCUUUUCCCCCCUCCAGCAAGUUCCUUGACGUAUCUGGGUCCUGUUCAGUCCUCCUUGAGGUUCUAAUGUGAUUUUCAGGCCUUGUUAGAGUGUCACAAACACAAUGGUGGAAUUCUUCGGCCUGUGGUCAUGUGACUCGACUUAGUAAAACAGGUGGCCCCACGGCUGGAACAUCUGGAAUUCGAACUCUCACAACUUCCAAACGAGCACCAAACGGCGACUGCACCUCACUGAGCGGCGUUUACUCCGACCGCACGUUUCGCACCAAUCCAACGAUUAAAAAUGUCUUCAAGUGUGAUUAUGGAGAGUUUAUAAAGUGUUAUAUUAGGACCAUGUGGAGUUAGAUAUCCUUAAUGUCUGUCUGCAGAGUAACGACGGAUGUCUGACUGAAAAUACACGAUGCGGACAAAAUAAGGGAAACGGCACGUGAAUAGGACGUGAAGUAAUUCAAUCUUAUAGAAGGAUGUGAAAGAGGACGCGCCAAAGGGAUUCGCUUCUGAUAGCGAUUCGUUCUGUAUCUACGAGUUAAUCUAGGUGAACUUUAACCCCGCAAAUCCCGAAAGCGUUAGCCGAUACGAAACGAGAGCGGUGCUGGGGGUCGUGCGCUUCUGGAAGACCUGUUUAUUAUUACAGUUUCAGAACAGCAGGAAAUAGUACAAACAUUCACAUUCUGAGCAACUGAUUAGCCGGCGCUAGCAUGCUAGCACAGACUAGCCGAAUGAUGAUAUUCUUUUUAAGCAGCUAACGAGCUAGUGUCAUUCACAAACACCGAACUAGCAGCUAGCAAGAUAACGUUAGCUGUUCACUGAAGCAGUACUUUCCGUCCAGGACCGCCCGGAAUCCUCCUUUUCUUUCACCACCCAGCUAUUAUCAGCUGAUUUUUAAUGAAUUAUUGUUUACGUCUAAUCCACACUGAGAAUGCUAGCUAGAUGGCUAAUGGAAGCUAACUGAAUCAGAAAACCUCUGUGUGCGAUCUCAAAUUUUGCAGAAAUUUUGGAAGGGUGUAUCUUUGAGUACAUAUUUAGUCUCAAAGACACGCCCACUGGUCAUCAGAUGGUCACUGGUCAUCACACACGUUUUCCCCAGCAGCAAAUUCAGAUCAUUUAGUCGUUUCUUUCAUUUUGUCCACUUCUGUGUCAGUUUACAGUCUCAAAAAUACAUGAAAAUGAGCCAAGACUGUGUGUGUGUGUGUGUGUGUGUAGAGGAGAGAGAGAGAGAGAGAGUGUAUGUGAAACACUUUUGGGUAUUACACAGUUAUAAUAAACCUCUUUAGCGGUGCC